AAUGAACGUUGGCGGCGUGGAUUAGGCAUGCAAGUCGAGCGCUCAUAGCAAUAUGGGAGCGGCGAACGGCGUAGUAAUGCAUCGGAACGUACCCUUCGGUCGGGGAUAGCCACGGGAAACUGUGGGUAAUACCCGAUGAUAUCUGCGGAUCAAAGGUGAGAUUCCGCCGGAGGAGCGGCUGAUGUGAUAUUAGCUUGAUGGUGGGGUAAUGGCCUACCAUGGCGAUGAUGUCUAGGGGGGUGUGAGAGCAUGGCCCCCCACGACCGGAACUGAGACACUGUCCGGACACCUACGGGUGGCUGCAGUCGAGAAUCUUCCGCAAUGGACGAAAGUCUGACGGAGCGACGCCGCGUGCGGGAUGAAGGCCCUUGGGUUGUAGACCGCUGUCAGAGGGGAUGAAAUCUCCGGGGGUACUCCCCCGGAGUUGACAGAGCCUCAAAGGAAGCACGGGCUAAGUACGUGCCAGCAGCCGCGGUAAUGU
rnacentral:rRNA from 1 species